UAAAUCAUAUGCAAAAGGUACAAGAGUUAAUCUUUGCUGUUUGUAGCUUGGAAUUUCAUUAUUAUUUCACCUUUCCCUUACGGUACGAUCUUGCUAUAGCGCCAAGUUUUCUUUUCUAUCACCUAUACUAAGUUGUUGUAAUGUUUUAGUUUUAAGCUUGCAGUUAGUUUU